rnacentral:rRNA from 1 species
CCUACGGGAGGCAGCAGUGGGGGAUAUUGCACAAUGGGGGAAACCCUGAUGCAGCGACGCCGCGGGUGGGAAGACGGUCCUCUGGAUUGUAAACCACUGUCCCCAGGGACGAAGAUGACGGUACCUGGGGAGGAAGCUCCGGCUAACUACGUGCCAGCAGCCGCGGUAAUACGUAGGGAGCGAGCGUUGUCCGGAAUUACUGGGUGGAAAGGGAGGGUAGGCGGGACUGCAAGUUGGGUGUCAAAUCUACCGGCUCAACCGGUAGCCGCACUCAAAACAGCAGUUCUUGAGUGAAGUAGAGGCAGGCGGAAUUCCUAGUGUAGCGGUGAAAUGCGUAGAUAUUAGGAGGAACACCAGUGGCGAAGGCGGCCUGCUGGGCUUUUACUGACGCUGAGGCUCGAAAGUGUGGGGAGCAAACAGGAUUAGAUACCCGAGUAGUC